rnacentral:lncRNA from 1 species
AGAAAUUCACCAGCUUUCUUCCAAGUUUGGGUUUUACUUUCUCACACUCAGAUCCUAGUUUGUUUAUUAGACAUACAUAUGCAGGAAUUGUUGCUUUGUUAUUAUAUGUGGAUGAUAUAGUUAUAACCGGAUCAAAUGCAGUAGGUAUUCAUGAAGUCAUCUUUGAGUUAAGCAUGGUAUUUGAUAUGAAAGAUCUUGGUUCUUUGUCAUAUUUUCUUGGUCUGGAAAUUACAAAGGUUCAGAAAGGAAUAUUACUCAGUCAAACUAAGUAUGCAAAAGAUUUACUUGUUAAAGCUGGAAUGGAAUCUAUCAACACUUGCAGCUCUCCUUGUCUUCCACAUUCUCAGAUGACAGCUGAUCAAGGUACACCACUUACAAACCCUACUAUGUACCGAAGUAUUGUAGGAGCAUUACAAUACUUAACAUUUACUCAUCUUGAUAUAGCAUAUGCAAUAAAUACAGUGUGUCAAUUCAUGACUAGUCCCACAGAUGUUCAUUAUGCUGCUGUUAAAAAGAUUUUGAGGUAUCUAAAGGGUACAAUUUCUAAGGGCAUAUUUUAUAGUUCUGCUGGUGCUUUACAUAAUGUCGUGACUGUGAAGGCCUUUAGUGAUGCUGAUUGGGCUGGAGAAGUGAUACAAAAACGCUCUACUGCUAGGUUUGUAGUCUAUCUUGGCUUGUGUCCAGUGUCUUGGCAAUCUAAGAAACAAGGUACUGUUUCAAGGAGCUCUACAAAAUCUGAGUACAGAAGUUUUGCAAAUACUACAGCAGAGAUUAGUUGGAUCAAACAUCUUCUUUGUGAUUUGAAGAUUCAAAUUCCAUGUGCACCUUUGCUUAAAUGUGACAACUUGUCUGCUUUGGCAUUAGCUUCUAAUCCUGUCUUCCACUCUAAGAUCAAGCACUUGGAUAAUGAUUUUCAUUUUGUCCAUGAAAGAGUUCAACAUAAUGAUCUUCGACUUGAGUAUGUAUGCACUACAGAACAGACUGCAGAUAUUCUGACAAAGGGUUUAGCUUCUCCUAUUUUUAAAACUCACUUUGUCAAUCUCAGGCUAGCAUCCCUAGUUGAGCUUGAGGGAGGAUGUUGACUAUGCAGUAAAAUAUGUUGAUCAGCUACUAGUUAUCUUUAGGAUUAAAUUCAGUUUACCCCUUCAAACUUUAGGGUUAAAAUCAGUUUGCUCCCUCAUCUUUUUUUUUAAUCAGACUCAUCCAUGAACUUCCAAAUCGCAUCACAUGACCCUAAAUUUCAAAUUUUCAUCUGAUUGUGACAUCAUGCGCUGAGCUGGAACCGACAAGAGGUCUCACAUUUCAGGUUUUGACUCUUACUUUUGCUGAAAAACCCAAACUACCCAUGAUAACAAUUAUUUCUAUUUCUCCACCUUUUUUUCUAUUCUUUUUACUUCACCUUCAAAACCUUUUCUUCUUCUUCUUCAAUUCACCUUCAGACUCUCUCUCUCUCUCNNNNNNNNNNNNNNNNNNNNCUCUCUCUCUCUCUCUCUCUCUCUCUCUCUCUCUCUCUCUCUCUCUCUCUCUCUCUCUCUCUCUCUCUCUCUCUCUCUCUCUCUCUCUCUCUCUCUAUUCAACCAACCGUCACCAACCAUCCACCUCUCAGUCAAUCCCCACCAUCCAUCAUUUCUACCUUGUGCACCCCUCAACUUCUCCCCCUCAAAGUUGAAGUUAGGAGAAAGAGUGGGAGAAUCUGUGAGCUAGCAAAGAUGAUGAAGAGCCUGAUGCUGCUGACCUGCCGUGUUUGGAGCCGAUUGAGUUGCCGAAGUACACGGUGGUGCACUUAGAAUCAAUUUGCCCAUGAAAUUUCAAGCUUCCCCACCCACAUCCCUACCCACAUCCCUCUCGGAACUCGACUUGAAAUCUUAUACAUGGGACAUGGCACCGACGAACUGAUUGGAAGGAGGAGACUCAUGGCGGCGUUGAGAGCUAUUUCGUGGAGUAGGAGUCUGAGAUUUGAAGAUUGGGGAUGGAGAUGAAGAAGAUUAGGCCGAAAGGAGAGAGAGAGAGAGAGAGAGAGAGAGAGAGAGAGAGAGAGAGAGAGAGAGAGAGAGAGAGAGAGAGAGAGAGAGAGAG